CAAUGGACGCAAGUCUGAUGGAGCAACGCCGCGUGAGUGAAGAAGGGUUUCGGCUCGUAAAGCUCUGUUGGUAGUGAAGAAAGAUAGAGGUAGUAACUGGCCUUUAUUUGACGGUAAUUACCUAGAAAGUCACGGCUAACUACGUGCCAGCAGCCGCGGUAAUACGUAGGUGGCAAGCGUUAUCCGGAUUUAUUGGGCGUAAAGCGAGCGCAGGCGGUUGCUUAGGUCUGAUGUGAAAGCCUUCGGCUUAACCGAAGAAGUGCAUCGGAAACCGGGCGACUUGAGUGCAGAAGAGGACAGUGGAACUCCAUGUGUAGCGGUGGAAUGCGUAGAUAUAUGGAAGAACACCAGUGGCGAAGGCGGCUGUCUGGUCUGCAACUGACGCUGAGGCUCGAAAGCAUGGGUAGCGAACAGGAUUAGAUACCCUGGUAGUCCAUGCCGUAAACGAUGAGUGCUAGGUGUUGGAGGGUUUCCGCCCUUCAGUGCCGGAGCUAACGCAUUAAGCACUCCGCCUGGGGAGUACGACCGCAAGGUUGAAACUCAAAGGAAUUGACGGGGGCCCGCACAAGCGGUGGAGCAUGUGGUUUAAUUCGAAGCUACGCGAAGAACCUUACCAGGUCUUGACAUCUUGCGCUAACCUUAGAGAUAAGGCGUUCCCUUCGGGGACGCAAUGACAGGUGGUGCAUGGUCGUCGUCAGCUCGUGUCGUGAGAUGUUGGGUUAAGUCCCGCAACGAGCGCAACCCUUGUUACUAAUUGCCAGCAUUAAGUUGGGCACUCUAGCAAGACUGCCGGUGACAAACCGGAGGAAGGUGGGGAUGACGUCAAAUCAUCAUGCCCCUUAUGACCUGGGCUACACACGUGCUACAAUGGACGGUACAACGAGUCGCAAGACCGCGAGGUUUAGCAAAUCUCUUAAAGCCGUUCUCAGUUCGGAUUGUAGGCUGCAACUCGCCUACAUGAAGUCGGAAUCGCUAGUAAUCGCGGAUCAGCAUGCCGCGGUGAAUACGUUCCCGGGCCU
rnacentral:rRNA from 1 species